CAAUAGCGUAUAUUAAAGUUGCUGCAGUUAAAACGCUCGUAGUUGUUGUCCAGCUAUACGUUUCACACACAUCAUGUGCGCGAAGCAACUAGUUUUGCUGAAAUUCUAUUUCGGCCAAAACCUUGAGGAAAGAUUAGUGUUCCAAGCAUCUCUAUCUGUCCUCCGCAGCAUGGUAUUCAACCCAAUCGAGGAAGAUUGUCGAGUCUUCCCAAGCCUAAAUAGAAAUUCAUGGAGGUAUACGUACUUCAAUGUCAGAGGUGAAAUUCCUAGAUUUUUGAAAGACGGUCAGUUGCGAAGGCGUUCACCAAGCGACUUUUCUUUGA
rnacentral:rRNA from 1 species